UUUCCAGGUGGUCAGUGCGUCCAUCUAGCUGUUUGACCUCCCUGUGUAGUUCUGCAACAGUGUUCCUGAAGUCCACUUGGAUAUCAGAUCGGAGUGAGUGUCCUUUCUCCAAGCAACAGGAUCAUCCCCAUGGUGCCUGUGUCCCCAAAUCUAGGCAAGAGCAAUAUAGUUUCUGAUGUCAUUCAUCUUUUGCAGCAUAUCAUCGCAGUGACGUCUUGCUCCCUCGACACUCUCCCGAGAUGGCUGCACGGGUACCCCCGGAUCCCCGCUCAUUUGACCUGAAGGUAGGCUCACACAAUGUUAAUGGCCUCAAUGUGCCUCAAAAGCGCACUAUGGCCUUCACUGAAUAUUUCAAAUUAAAGCUUGAUAUCUUGCUGCUGCAGGAGACACAUUUCAGUAGAACUUCAUCACCCAAAUACCUUUCCAAACACUACCCCCAGAUUUACUUGGCAAAUUCGACCACAAAAACGAGAGGGGUAGCCAUUCUUAUCGCUAAACAGGUAAAAUUUCAACUUAUGCAGCAGUAUAUAGAUCCCGAUGGCCGAUUCAUCAUCUUAAAGGGACACCUCCAGAACCAUCUGACUACGCUUGCUUCAGUUUAUGCCCCCAAUAACUCAAAACAGAAAUUUUUCAUAAUUUUUUAAAAAAAAAUUAUCAGAAAUCUCGGAGGGCAGAGUCAUUGUGGGGGGUGAUUUUAACACGACCUUGAAUAACAAUUUAGAUAGAUCUCGGGACAUUUUGGACACACAGCCAACUGGCACAGGCGAUAGAGACGCGAAACACCUUCUCACUCACCUGAAAGAGGAGGCACUAGUGGACGUUUGGAGAGAGAAAAAUAGAUUUUUGUACUUACCGUUAAAUCCUUUUCUCUUGUCCUACAUUGGGGGACACAGGCACCAUGGGGAUGAAGAUCCUGUUGCU